rnacentral:sRNA from 1 species
CAAACAGAUUAUGUGGAGCAGGGUCAGCCAUGAGCGAGCUAUGGUGAUGAACCAUAUACCACCUGCCAUUACGGAACUCAUAUACGUUGGUAACAUGGAAAUGCCCAGGGUCAACAUCAACAUGCGCCUUCAUGUUAACCCAUGCCACCUCACCGAGAACACGAGCUCGGACAUCCCGUAGCUGGAAAGCAAUGCCCUGCCCUCCAUCCUGGCCCCAGUUGAAUAACAGGCCCCAGCUGUCCAUCACUGCGUUGUAUCUGUCAAAA